rnacentral:tRNA from 1 species
GGAAGGGUGGCAGAGCUCGGUCGAAUGCACUGGUCUUGAAAACCAGCGAGGAGUUAAAUCCUCCGUGGGUUCGAAUCCCACCCCUUCCACCA